UAGGGAAUCUUCCGCAAUGGGCGAAAGCCUGACGGAGCAACGCCGCGUGAGUGAUGAAGGUCUUCGGAUCGUAAAACUCUGUUAUUAGGGAAGAACAAAUGUGUAAGUAACUAUGCACGUCUUGACGGUACCUAAUCAGAAAGCCACGGCUAACUACGUGCCAGCAGCCGCGGUAAUACGUAGGUGGCAAGCGUUAUCCGGAAUUAUUGGGCGUAAAGCGGGCGUAGGCGGUUUUUUAAGUCUGAUGUGAAAGCCCACGGCUCAACCGUGGAGGGUCAUUGGAAACUGGAAAACUUGAGUGCAGAAGAGGAAAGUGGAAUUCCAUGUGUAGCGGUGAAAUGCGCAGAGAUAUGGAGGAACACCAGUGGCGAAGGAGACUAUCUGGUCUGUAACUGACGCUGAUGUGCGAAAGCGUGGGGAUCAAACAGG
rnacentral:rRNA from 1 species